rnacentral:rRNA from 1 species
GACGAACGCUGGCGGCGUGCUUAACACAUGCAAGUCGAACGGAAAGGCCCCCAUCUUGGUGGGGUUGCUCGAGUGGCGAACGGGUGAGUAACACGUGGGUGAUCUUCCCUGUACUUCGGGAUAAGCUUGGGAAACUGGGUCUGCUACCGGCUAGGACCAUGUUUUAGUGUCUCCUGGUGGAAAUAUUAUUUUUUUCGUGCAGGAUGGGCUCGCGGCCUUUCAGCUUGUUGGUGGGGUAAUGGCCUACCAAGGCGUCGGCGGUUAGCCGGCUUGGGAGGGUGGACGGACACAUUGGGACUGAGAGACGGCCCAGAUUCGUAAGGGAGGAGGCAGGAGGGAAGAUUGCACAAUGGGAGCAAGACUGAGGCAGCGAGGCCGCGUGGGGGAGGACGGCCGUCGGGUUGUAAACUCCUUUCGUUAGGGACGAAGCCGCGCUUUUGUGGGGUGUGGUGACGGUACCUUUGUUAAGAAGCACCGGCUAACUACGUG